rfam:Zea mays cultivar B73 chromosome 8, whole genome shotgun sequence.
AGCUAUGUGGUGAGCACAAAGCGAACUAUUCUUUCGCCUUUUACUAAAGAAUACCGUGUGCUCAUCAUAAUUAGCAGCAUACACUAAAUUUUGAAGGGUGUUCUCCUAUUUAGGGAGGAC